GUAGUCUGNAACCCGACUACAUGAAGCUGGAAUCGCUAGUAAUCGCGGAUCAGAAUGCCGCGGUGAAUACGUUCCCGGGUCUUGUACACACCGCCCGUCACACCAUGGGAGUCGGAAAUGCCCGAAGUCGGUGACCGAACCGAAAGGAAGGAGCCGCCGAAGGCAGGUCUGGUGACUGGGGUGAAGUCGUAACAAGGUACC
rnacentral:rRNA from 1 species